rnacentral:lncRNA from 1 species
UUAAACAUGCCAGUUAUCAUAUCAAUCACAUGUGAUUGAUAACCCGCAUGCACGAGGAUUUAUUACACUGAUAACUGUUUUGCCAAGUAUGAUACUGUAAAUGGUUUUCCAAAACGACUUUACUUGUUCAAAUCUUUAAUUAUUUUGUUUUAUCAAAACUAUAACCAAAAUGUGUUUAUGAAAGGUCUUCAAAGGAUUUCUAAAGGCUUUCAAACUUAUUUUACAAAAGAAUACCAAGUCGUGAUUUUCUUAAGUAUAAAGGUUUUCCCAAAGUUUUCUUCCAUGUUUUCAUACUCCUACUUGGUUAGAUACUACUGCUUCGUUAUACUUCCACUUCGAGAUACACUUAUACUUGAUAAUGCUUCUACUUCACUUAUACUUAUUAACGCUCCUACUUCACGAUACGCUUCUACUUCACGAUACACUCCUACUUCACGAUACGCUUCUACUUCACGAUACACUUCUACUUCACGAUACGCUUCUACUUCAUGAUACGUUUCCACUUAGUUAGAUGUAUGCCUGUACAUGUAUAGUUAUAUAAAUAAUGAUUAAAGGACUUAGGAAGGCUAGUUCGCCCUAUUUCCUUUUCUUCGUUGAGAUGUGGUCUGGUGGGAUCGGAUAUCCAUUCGAAGGUCGUUUGAUCAUUAAUUAUAUAUCAUGUAUACAUGUAUAUACAUAUGGGUUGAUAUCGAUCGGUUCAGUUAUGAGUCUCUACUGCUAGUCCAACACUUACAUAGAAUCCACUNUGUCUACUUGGUAACCAGAGUCUCUUGUAGGGAGAGCGGACAUUGUGUGUAUAGAUCUAUACAGGAUUAACACCCCCGCACCCUGACUGCUAGAUACAGUCCACGACCUACCAAGCCAAGGGGUGACUAAUGUCACAUCUUUAUUUUGACGCUUGCAGGGCAUCGAGUUCUCUAGUAUCUAUCAGUAUGGUUACGAGUAUCUCGAGGUUACCUUAUAACUCAUGGAAUUAAGGCAACGACGCUUAACACAGUAUGCUGGAAAUACACACCUUGAAAAUACACACCUCGAAUAUACACACCCGGAAUUACACUAUUUUUAGACCUUGCUAGACGUAUCAUUCAAUUGAUACUGUCUGGGGUCUGUAUCCACUAUUUUAGACCUUACUAGACGUAUCAUUCAUUUGAUCCUGUCUGGGGUCUGUAUCUCUUUGUUUUUAGACCUUGCUAGACGUAUCAUUCAUUUGAUCCUGUCUGGGGUCUGUGUCUCUUUAUUUUUAGACCUUGUUAGACGUAUCAUUCAUUUGAUCCUGUCUGGGGUCUGUGUCGCUUUGUUUUAGACCUUGCUAGACGUAUCAUUCAUUUGAUCCUGUCUGGGGUCUGUUUUUCUCUGUUUUAGAUCUUGCUAGACGUAUCAUUCAUUCGAUACCGUCUGGGGUCUGUAUCUCUUUUGUUAGACUGAGCAAGGCGUGUCGUUCAUUCGAUACUUUCCUGGAGUUUAUGAUCUCUUUGCCUUAGUCAGCAGUCUUCACUGCUGAGGCAUACAUUAUUUUCCUUGAUAUUCUCAUACUUUCUUUAAAAUCAAACACAGUAUAUUGGUAAUGAUAGUGUUUAAGGGAAAAUCUCUUUUCACAACCUAACUUAGUCGGGUCUUGGCAUAAGACUACAUUUAUUGAAGAAAAUAUAGGAUUUUCUGGUAAGGACACUAAUACACUGUAGACUCUAAACUACCACUUUUAUAAAGUUAUUUUGAACUUAAACAAGUGAUACUAAAGACUUAUGAACUCACCAGCAUUUAUAAAAAUGCUGAUACUCGUUUUCAAAAUAACUUGUAUUCUCAGGUCAGCAAUAGACAGGUACAUCUCAGGAGCUUUUGGUGAAUACAGUUCUGUACCAAGCUGCACCUAUAUUAUUACUUGUAUUACCUUGAUGUUUCUAUUUAUUGUAAACCAUGUAAAACUAUUACUAUUAAUGCGAUGGUUGUUGUACUUUAAUUACUAUACUACAUAUGUUGUGAUACUUGACAUGACGUCAUCCACCCCAGAACAUUUCUGCCGUUCCGGUUUUGGGGUGUGACAGAUUGGUAUCAGAGCAUUGUUUACAGUGAGUUAAGUAUAUCAAUUCAUAAAAGAUAUACAACCUAUAAAUACAUAUGGAUAAACACUCUGACCAAGAAUUAUACUUUAAAAUAUAACCAUAUUUUACCAAAGUAUAAGAACAUCCAGAAUCCAAACACUCGAACACAAGUAUCAGAAGAAGAACAAGAAUAAAAGUCUUCGGAUGUUGGGCAUUACCGUCAAACUUGGGCAGUUAUGUAAUCGUAAGCUGGAAUAAAUGUAACCUGAUCAACUACAUUUAUUCGAGAUGCGAUGAACGUGUGCUUGGGAGUGAUAGUGGUGUUGCAACAGGUCUGAAAUUUACCAACUAGGAAUGAUAGAGUCAAACAUAAAGUUUAAAAUACUGUGGGAGUAUUUUGGAAUACUAAAAGACACACAUUAAUCCCAGAAUCACAUUCAGAAGAUAAGAACAAACAAGAAAUUAAAAUACCAUAGGGGUAUUUUAGGGUACAUAGAUAACCUUGUGUGAAAAACUAAAAAGAUCCUUAUUGAUAUACCUACAAUUACAAAGGGUAUACUCACAAGGUUAUAUAUAAUAAGGAUCCCAUAGGCUAAGAAUGUGUGGUUUCGCUCUACUUCCUUUUCUUCAUUGGGAUGUGGAUAUAGAGUUGUAUUACAUAUUCGAAGGCCUAUCAGAUCUAAGUUAUAUAUGAUUUGUAUACCCUAUGUAAUCGUAGCAGGACUCGAUAUGGAUCACCCAGUGAAAUGUUAAUAAUCUCUUAGGAUUCUUUAGACAUUUCCAUUCUCGCACGAACCCUGUAGAAAACCCUAUCCACUUUAGUGUUCGACGGAAGAGUUGAUUCCGACCCCGAAGAGGUUCAUUGAGAAGAUUUCUAGUUCGGAAAUAAAUGAACUGGGUCGAGACUAUUGAAAUCACCAAGUGCCUAUAUCAUUUAGGCACAUUGGUGAGAAGUUCGCCUAAACUUCCGAGAUUUCCAGUCGUCCAUCAUGAAUUGAUGACACCUAGAGUCGGAUUCGGAAGUAUGGCGGAGUAGAAAUUCAAUAUGUCUUCAUGAGAAAAGAACCCUAGGUAACUAUCCGAAGAAAACCAACACCGGUCCCAGUCAAAGAUACGAGGUAGACAGAGGGAACCAGUACAUGGAACCCAAGAAAUGUCUCUUCCUCAUGAUUCGUCACGCUAAUACACCCAUAAAAUAAUACAAUUUAGUGAGUUAGUGAUCACACUACUCACGCUAUGUGUUAGGUAAAUCGUCUUUUCCCGUGCAAGUAACACGAUUAGAGUGGAUCCCCGCACCUCUAUUGAGGGUAUUUAGCCAUAAGUCUUCAUGAGCCUUUCUUCCCGCGAUAUUCGUUCCGAACUGUUCACAAAUCUUUCCAGGACGGAGAGUGAAACCUUUCCCAGUAUAAAGGUAACUUAGUAGGAACGACUCCCAUCUUAUGGCUUUUUCCGACACUCACACUCCUACCUUGCAUACCAGGACUACAUCAUAGGGAUGUAGGUCGACACUCAGGCAACCAAUAUCUGAGGCACGGGAAAAAUUUAUGCCUAAUAAAGUAUGGACAGGUAUGUCCAGGGUUAACCAUCGUCUCUCAUCCGUUUGAGUUCUUUUCCGUAUAGUAAAACCAUGCCUCCGAAGGAUCGUAACCCAUCCGCUGGCAAGAAAUCGACUCUCCUAUUCGAUGAAGCUACGUUCCGGGCUGCAGUCUCGGCAGCCGUUGCAGCUGUCAUGGCCCAGCUAAAUGCUAACAACGCCAAUAUUAGCAAGAGCCCUAUCAGAAAUUCCGAUCCAAGUAAUGGACAACAGCAACCAACACCUACAUACCCAGCCACCCAAGAACCUCAACCAAAUCCACUGAAGAGAAAGUUCAAGAUUGAGGAGGGAAGUAGCUCGGCUCAAGGACCUUCCGAAGGGCAACAAGUUGAGACAGUCAAUAUCCCUGCCAGCUCUUCCAUCCCGACUUCAAGGAGACCACACCUAGGAAGCCUUCCCUACUGUGGCAAGUGUAGCUACCAUCAUCAUGGUAUAUGCCGGGAACUCUUCUGUGCUAGAUGCAACAGGAAGGGGCACACCUCACGUACCCGCAGAACCCCGGUGGAGUCUAUUACAUCAAUCACCAAUGUGACGACCAAUCCAGUUUGCCGUCUAUGUGGUGAGAUUGGACACUUCAAAAGGGACUGCCCAACCGAAGGAAACAACAAAGACUCAGGAGAAGUCUAACUCUAAUGCUUAGGGAGAAGCAUCAAGGAAAUCGGUAGAUUUUGGUACGUCUCUCAAUCUCAGAUAACUAACCGAAAACAUUAAAAGGCUAAUUCAAAAUGUAAAUACUUCCCCGUUAAGGCGAAAGUCGCAGCACUGUUAUAAAAUUUAAAAUUUCAUUAGGUAAAACUAUAAUGGCUACAUAUAUACGUUACGACCAUGUAUAAUUAAGAUGGAAAGACCUAGAGUGAGUGAAUGCCGCCUCAUUUCCUGUUCCUCGUUCGGUUGUGGAUUUAGGGUGGGGUCGCUCAGUCAACAUUCCUCCCCACCUUAAUUAUACAUGACUAGUAUAUGUUAGGCGAUUAUAGAGAUGCCUUGUGAGAAUCCAUUCAUGAAAAGGUACUCUACUACAUUCAGGACCCUUUAUAGUUCUGCGUCAACUCUAUCGGUCCAAGUAUCCGCGACAGUGAUACACGAGACAAAACCCGAGACGCCUUGAACGGGUGUGCCUGUUCGGCACAUGACUCUAUCGACCCUCACACCGUAUCAUGUCGAAGUGUGCCAACUUCGACGACUCUAUCAAUCAUGGUUCGACUUAAUGCGACCAUGUGUAAAUCCCUAGUGCUGUGUAAAAAGAACUUUUUCCUUAGCCAUUUCGGAAAUUAAAGGUUCUUCCGAACCUAAACAUAAUACAUAUAAUCAAACCUAAUGCGAUCCGUCAGCCGUCCCUCUUACCUCGAACCUUCCAAAGUACCCAAGAGAAGGGUACCGCACGCCGUUAACCAACCCUCCUUAGACAAGAAAGAAACCGAAACGAAAGACACUGCAGGUAUUCCAGAAGACGAUAACCACCCGAAGCAUACUCCGUAGACCCCCCAGAAAGACCCUUCGUACCUCGCAAUCAAGUUCGUGAAUCAAGAGAAUAGAACGCAUGGGAGUGACCACUAUAACUGAGUAUAUGUCUAAGGGUGAUAUAUAAUGGAGAUCGAAGUUCUGAGUGAUGGAACCCUAUACCCACUAGAUUUGACCUAGACCGAGAAGAACUCAGAACCUUCGGAAGAGUAGUUACGGAAGAUGUUCUCACUACUUAGGCACUUCGUCCACCCCGGUACUGACAAGUAGUGCCUAGAACCCUCCGCCCCCUCGCAUGGAGGAAGUCACCGUCGCCCUGUAGAAGAUAGAGUACAUUCUCUGAAGCGAACACUAGAAUACCGAGAACCAUAGGAUAACCUUCGCAGCUAAGAAUGCUUGAAUAAAGUGCGAAAGUAGGUUGCGUUAAGCCUUAUAACCUAGAUCCCGGAGUAAUUAUGGACUUGACACCAGUCUAGGUGUUAGUCAAUGGGUUAUACAAGAGCACGCACUUUCUGCAUCUGAAAUAAACCAACGCCUUAGAGAUUAGGGCAUGUCUUACAAGAUUCAUUGGACUACUAGGUGUUCCACGAAUACUAUCUCGCACAGAAAUAGUAGAACCACCUCCCGAGAUAGUCCAACACUCGUCUGGUGAAACCAUAUCUCCCCGACCCUGAGGGUUUCCGUUAGAAAUAUCUCAAGAAUCAGAAGUGCAGGUUCAUCUGCACAAUAUUGAGAUAGACACACUGCAGCAAACAGAUACCCGUAGACAUGCAAUCCAUCCGAUGAUCCGAAAAACCUUUGAAAGUCAAACAGUAGAAACACGAAAUCCAAGGACAACCCGAGCUUUCUAAGAACCAAUCCGAAGGACUACACUCCCAGUAUGAGAGAACGUUUGGAACUUCGGAAUGGCGAUCACACCAGUGAUGAUCUCGCCAUAGAAGUACACUAUGUUCUAAAUACUGAAAAGCUCUACCCUUCCGAGAGCUAAGGACCAUCCGAGAUUCUUUACAAAGAUUGGUCCAACCCUCGUCAGACCACUACUACUUCCGGAUAUUCCACAAGCCUCUAGACUUGAUAAGUGUUGCCCGACGUCACUCUUCGUAUCCCAUACAUCUUGAUAGAAACCAUUGGGAAUCCUAACUUCGUAGAUGAACCAAACAGGAAGUAUCCUCAAACCUUUACUCGAUCAUUCAUACCUACUUCCUUGCCUAAACCUGAAUUUCGAGACGAAAUUCCCUCUAACGGGGGGAUGAUGUGACAACCCAAAAAUUUCCGUUAGUUUUAACGUUGAAGUUAACAUCAAAAACUAACGUCAAAAUUAGUUACGUCAAAAAUUAGUCAAAUUUAUCCCGAAAAUAUUUUUGACCGGAAUUAAACCCGUUGGAAUAUUUUAAAUAAUAUUCGUCAAGUGAACAAAAAUUAAGGCGGUAUAAUUUUAAAGUUUGCCGUGAUUAAGGAAGUAGUGAAAAACCCGUUCGCGGUUGGUGUCAGGAAAACCCCAGCCAGGCCAUAAGCUCCACCCUAUAUAAGGGAGGAGUGGGAUUCACUCCCACCUUUUUCCCACCUUAGACUCUCUCUCUUUCUCUUUACUUUCUCUCUCUACAAAUGGGUUUUUGGUCAAAAAUCGCCCAUUCAAGAUCCAAAUCGGUAAGUUAACCUUCCUAGCUUGUUAUCUAACUUACCUAGCUUGCAAAUUCGUGACUUAAUCAUCCAAAAACCCCAAGAACAUGAGUUUACGGUCUUGGGAGCCUCCCAAAACCGUAAACCCCUUGGAUGUGGGUUUUAAAGCUCAAAAACCCUUCCAAAACACUUCUUAUCCUUAGCAAUGGCUUAGAGACUUACCCGAAAGGAUUUAGAACACCAAAAUCGGACCAAAUGGGGAGUAAACAUGAGUUUACGGUCUAAGAAUGUUCUUGGACCAUAAAACCAUGUUCAUGGACCAUAAACACCUUUUAAGGUGUCAAGCUACCCCUCAAACAACUCCAAGGGCUUCCAUGAACUUCCUAGAGUUCAUAGAACCUUAUUUUCCUUCAUUUUAUGCACCAAAGCAUACUAAAUGAUGUCACACUUGAGUUUAUGGCCCAAGAAGAUUCAUGGACCGUAAACACCCAUUCUUAGACCAUAAACACUCCCAAAGGGUGUUAUGCCCUUAACACUUUGUAUGGCUUGGAAUUGGACCUAGAACUUCGUAUGCUUAACCUAUAACCACAAAAACGCAUGAUUCAUGGUCUAACAUGAGUUUCCUGCCGUAAACUCAUGUGUUUAAGGUAGUAAACUCCCCAAGUGUAUCUCCUUAGACCGUAAACUCCUCAAGGAGUAAACUAUGGACUGUAAACUCCAUUUUGUGCCCAUUUUGAGCCCCAAUCACUUCCUUAGCCCUUGAUUCAAAUCUAGCAUGACUCCAUCAGUGAGUUAAGACCUUUAAGCAUCCCAUGACACUACUACCAUGAGUUUACGGCUGUAAACUCAUGGGGGAAAGGGUCUUGAAACCGUAAACACCCAUAAGGGCCUUCAUUUGAGGAGUAAACUCCAAAGUGAGUCCAUACACACCUUCUAUGCAACCCGGGACACUUCUAGCACUUGUAGAAAAGUGUUUUUAUGUCAUAAGACCUCCUUACUUGCUUAAUUAGUUGUUAAAUGACUAAUUAGAUACUUAAAUGUAUCAUUACAUGUUAAAUAGGAUUCGCGCGUGUGGUCAAGUCCUCACUUGACACUUUGCAUCCUAUACCGGCACCUUCACCCGAUCCACUUACAACAGGUGAGUUCAUACCCNACUUACACCAGGUGAGUUCAUACCCCUGAAUGAACCUUUUAAAUGUUUUUACAUGUUUUUUAGGGGGGGGAAUACAAGUUAAACAUGCCAGUUAUCAUAUCAAUCACAUGCGAUUGAUAACCCGCAUGCACGAGGAUUUAUUACACUGAUAACUGUUUUGCCAAGUAUGAUGCUGUAAAUGGUUUUCCAAAACGAAUUUACUUGUUCAAAUCUUUACUUAUUUUGUUUUAUCAAAACUAUAACCAAAAUAUGUUUAUGAAAGGUUUUCAAAGGAUUUCUAAAGGCUUUCAAACUUAUUUUACAAAAGAAUACCAAGUCGUGAUUUUCUUAAGUAUAAAGGUUUUCCCAAAGUUUUCUUCCAU